rnacentral:lncRNA from 1 species
UACAACUCCAAAUAUGUUGACUUGAUUGAGGAACAACUCAAUGAAGCACUUACCACUUACCGGAAGCCUGUCGAUGGUGAUAACUAUGUUCGUCGGAGUAACCAAAGAUUACAGCGUCCUCACGUCUACCUGCCUAUACACCUUUAUGGACAACUAGUACACCAUAAAACAGGCUGCCAUUUGUUGGAAGUACAGAAUAUUAUUACAGAACUCUGUCGUAAUGUUCGUACACCAGAUUUGGAUAAGUGGGAAGAAAUUAAAAAACUGAAAGCAUCUCUUUGGGCCUUGGGAAAUAUCGGCUCAUCAAAUUGGGGUCUCAAUUUGCUACAGGAAGAAAACGUGAUUCCAGAUAUACUAAAACUUGCAAAACAGUGUGAAGUUCUUUCCAUCAGAGGGACCUGUGUAUAUGUCCUUGGGCUCAUAGCUAAAACCAAACAAGGCUGUGAUAUUCUAAAAUGUCACAACUGGGAUGCUGUGAGGCAUAGUCGCAAACAUCUGUGGCCAGUGGUUCCAGAUGAUGUGGAACAACUCUGUAAUGAACUUUCAUCUAUCCCAAGCACUGCUCCAAACGGUUUGAACUCAGGAUCAACCAGCUCUAGACAUAAUAGCGAAAGUGAAUCUGUGCCAGCGAGUAUGUUCAUAUUGGAGGAUGACCGGUUUGGCAGCAGCUCUACUAGUACAUUUUUCCUUGAUAUCAACGAAGAUACAGAGCCAGCAUUUUAUGACCGAUCUGGACCCAUAAAGGAUAAAAAUUCAUUCCCUUUCUUUGCUUCUAGUAAACUUGUGAAGAAUCGUAUCUUAAAUUCGCUUACUUUGCCUAACAAAAAACAUCGUAGUAGCAGUGAUCCAAAAGGAGGGAAAUUAUCAUCUGAAAGUAAGACAAGCAACAGGCGAAUCAGAACACUUACGGAGCCCAGUGUUGAUUUUAAUCAUAGUGAUGAUUUUACACCCAUAUCCACUGUACAGAAAACAUUACAAUUAGAGACUUCAUUUAUGGGGAAUAAGCACAUUGAAGACACUGGUAGUACACCAAGCAUUGGAGAAAAUGACUUAAAAUUCACCAAGAAUUUUGGUACAGAGAAUCACAGAGAAAAUACAAGCCGAGAGAGGUUAGUAGUAGAAAGUUCAACGAGCUCACAUAUGAAGAUACGUAGCCAAAGUUUUAAUACAGACACUACAACAAGUGGCAUAAGUUCAAUGAGCUCAAGUCCUUCACGAGAGACAGUAGGUGUAGAUGCUACAACUAUGGACACAGACUGUGGAAGCAUGAGUACUGUGGUAAGUACUAAAACUAUUAAGACAAGCCACUAUUUGACGCCACAGUCUAACCAUCUGUCUCUCUCCAAAUCAAAUUCGGUGUCCCUGGUGCCUCCAGGUUCUUCUCAUACGCUUCCUAGAAGAGCACAGUCCCUUAAAGCACCCUCUAUUGCUACAAUUAAAAGUCUAGCAGAUUGUAACUUUAGUUACACAAGUUCUAGAGAUGCUUUUGGCUAUGCUACACUGAAAAGACUACAGCAACAAAGAAUGCAUCCAUCCUUAUCUCACUCUGAAGCUUUGGCAUCUCCAGCAAAAGAUGUGCUAUUUACUGAUACCAUCACCAUGAAGGCCAACAGUUUUGAGUCCAGAUUAACACCAAGCAGGUUCAUGAAAGCCUUAAGUUAUGCAUCAUUAGAUAAAGAAGAUUUAUUGAGUCCUAUUAAUCAAAAUACCCUGCAACGAUCUUCCUCAGUGCGGUCCAUGGUGUCCAGUGCCACAUAUGGGGGUUCAGAUGAUUACAUUGGUCUUGCUCUCCCGGUGGAUAUAAAUGAUAUAUUCCAGGUAAAGGAUAUUCCCUAUUUUCAGACAAAAAACAUACCACCACAUGAUGAUCGAGGUGCAAGAGCAUUUGCCCAUGAUGCAGGAGGUCUUCCAUCUGGAACUGGAGGUCUUGUAAAAAAUUCUUUUCACUUGCUACGACAGCAGAUGAGUCUUACGGAAAUAAUGAAUUCAAUCCAUUCAGAUGCCUCUCUGUUUUUAGAAAGUACAGAAGACACUGGACUACAGGAACAUACAGAUGAUAACUGCCUUUAUUGUGUCUGUAUUGAAAUUCUGGGUUUCCAGCCCAGCAACCAACUGAGUGCAAUAUGUAGUCAUUCAGACUUUCAAGAUAUUCCAUAUUCUGAUUGGUGUGAGCAGACUAUCCAUAAUCCUUUAGAAGUGGUUCCCUCUAAGUUUUCGGGGAUUUCUGGAUGCAGUGAUGGGGUGUCUCAAGAAGGCUCAGCUAGCAGCACCAAAAGCACAGAAUUGUUACUAGGUGUUAAAACAAUUCCAGAUGAUACACCAAUGUGCCGUAUACUCCUUCGCAAAGAAGUUCUAAGAUUAGUCAUUAAUUUGAGUAGUUCAGUUUCAACUAAAUGUCAUGAGACUGGGCUUUUAACGAAUUAAGGAGAAGUAUCCUCAAACAUUUGAUGACAUAUGCCUUUACUCUGAGGUUUCCCAUUUGCUGUCACACUGCACAUUCAGACUUCCGUGUCGGAGGUUCAUACAAGAAUUAUUUCAAGAUGUACAGUUUCUACAAAUGCAUGAAGAAGCAGAGGCUGUGUUGGCAACACCACCAAAGCAACCUAUAGUUGAUACAUCUGCUGAAUCCUGACCUCAUAUUUAUGAUGGAUAUAGAUACAUACUAUAUAUAUUCAUAUUUGUGGAUUUCCUAAAAGCCUCAGAAAAUACGACUGACUAGGCAGCAAAGACAGGAGUAUCUUCUGCACACUGUUCCGCAGUUACUGGUACAUGAACAGUUGGAACUGCUGACUUUCCUAACCAAAACAACUUCCUUCUCUCCUUUGUUGAGCCUUUUGAGGGGUUCAUGAUUCAUUACCACAGUUUUAAGAGUUUUAGUUACCAUUGUAUGCAAGAGCCAAGCACUGAAUACCUACAUAGGUUUUCUAUUUUCUUUCAUUUUAAAAGCAUAAUGACAGUGGAACAAUAAUGGGAUAUGCAGAAGCACCCUUCACAAGUUAUUUCUGAAUGAUUUUUAGGGUAAAUUUACAGAUGCCUUGUUUGUUAACUAAUUUGUGGAAAGCAGGAAUCAGUGUCUCUAAGGCUGCAUCCUGUUACCACAAUGGGGUGUGCUAUAACUGCUGGUAUUAGAGAGGGAACUUUGGCCCUUUCAUGUUUUUCUUAAUGUUUGUAACACUACUUCAGAGGUUUAUAACCUCAAAGCAGAAGAAGAGCCUCAACAACCCGGGACUUAUAAGUUAUUUUUAUGUUACUAGACUUGCAUAAAGAUUCUUGUUUUCCAACUCUUCAUUUUGUUGCAAUGUGUUAUUACAGGAUAUAUGAACCAAUUAAGGUUUUU